GGUUAAGCGACUAAGCGUACACGGUGGAUGCCCUGGCAGUCAGAGGCGAUGAAGGACGUGCUAAUCUGCGAAAAGCGUCGGUAAGGUGAUAUGAACCGUUAUAACCGGCGAUGUCCGAAUGGGGAAACCCAGUGUGUUCCGACACACUAUCAUUAACUGAAUCCAUAGGUUAAUGAGGCGAACCGGGGGAACUGAAACAUCUAAGUACCCCGAGGAAAAGAAAUCAACCGAGAUUCCCCCAGUAGCGGCGAGCGAACGGGGAGGAGCCCAGAGCCUGAAUCAGUGUGUGUGUUAGUGGAAGCGUCUGGAAAGGCGUGCGAUACAGGGUGACAGCCCCGUACACGAAAAUGCACAUGCUGUGAGCUCGAAGAGUAGGGCGGGACACGUGGUAUCCUGUCUGAAUAUGGGGGGACCAUCCUCCAAGGCUAAAUACUCCUGACUGACCGAUAGUGAACCAGUACCGUGAGGGAAAGGCGAAAAGAACCCCGGCGAGGGGAGUGAAAAAGAACCUGAAACCGUGUACGUACAAGCAGUGGGAGCCCUGAUUUAUCAGGGUGACUGCGUACCUUUUGUAUAAUGGGUCAGCGACUUAUAUUCUGUAGCAAGGUUAACCGAAUAGGGGAGCCGGAGGGAAACCGAGUCUUAACUGGGCGUUAAGUUGCAGGGUAUAGACCCGAAACCCGGUGAUCUAGCCAUGGGCAGGUUGAAGGUUGGGUAACACUAACUGGAGGACCGAACCGACUAAUGUUGAAAAAUUAGCGGAUGACUUGUGGCUGGGGGUGAAAGGCCAAUCAAACCGGGAGAUAGCUGGUUCUCCCCGAAAGCUAUUUAGGUAGCGCCUCGUGAAUUCAUCUCCGGGGGUAGAGCACUGUUUCGGCAAGGGGGUCAUCCCGACUUACCAACCCGAUGCAAACUGCGAAUACCGGAGAAUGUUAUCACGGGAGACACACGGCGGGUGCUAACGUCCGUCGUGAAGAGGGAAACAACCCAGACCGCCAGCUAAGGUCCCAAAGUCAUGGUUAAGUGGGAAACGAUGUGGGAAGGCCCAGACAGCCAGGAUGUUGGCUUAGAAGCAGCCAUCAUUUAAAGAAAGCGUAAUAGCUCACUGGUCGAGUCGGCCUGCGCGGAAGAUGUAACGGGGCUAAACCAUGCACCGAAGCUGCGGCAGCGACACUGUGUGUUGUUGGGUAGGGGAGCGUUCUGUAAGCCUGUGAAGGUGUGCUGUGAGGCAUGCUGGAGGUAUCAGAAGUGCGAAUGCUGACAUAAGUAACGAUAAAGCGGGUGAAAAGCCCGCUCGCCGGAAGACCAAGGGUUCCUGUCCAACGUUAAUCGGGGCAGGGUGAGUCGACCCCUAAGGCGAGGCCGAAAGGCGUAGUCGAUGGGAAACAGGUUAAUAUUCCUGUACUUGGUGUUACUGCGAAGGGGGGACGGAGAAGGCUAUGUUGGCCGGGCGACGGUUGUCCCGGUUUAAGCGUGUAGGCUGGUUUUCCAGGCAAAUCCGGAGAAUCAAGGCUGAGGCGUGAUGACGAGGCACUACGGUGCUGAAGCAACAAAUGCCCUGCUUCCAGGAAAAGCCUCUAAGCAUCAGGUAACAUCAAAUCGUACCCCAAACCGACACAGGUGGUCAGGUAGAGAAUACCAAGGCGCUUGAGAGAACUCGGGUGAAGGAACUAGGCAAAAUGGUGCCGUAACUUCGGGAGAAGGCACGCUGAUAUGUAGGUGAAGCGACUUGCUCGUGGAGCUGAAAUCAGUCGAAGAUACCAGCUGGCUGCAACUGUUUAUUAAAAACACAGCACUGUGCAAACACGAAAGUGGACGUAUACGGUGUGACGCCUGCCCGGUGCCGGAAGGUUAAUUGAUGGGGUCAGCGCAAGCGAAGCUCUUGAUCGAAGCCCCGGUAAACGGCGGCCGUAACUAUAACGGUCCUAAGGUAGCGAAAUUCCUUGUCGGGUAAGUUCCGACCUGCACGAAUGGCGUAAUGAUGGCCAGGCUGUCUCCACCCGAGACUCAGUGAAAUUGAACUCGCUGUGAAGAUGCAGUGUACCCGCGGCAAGACGGAAAGACCCCGUGAACCUUUACUAUAGCUUGACACUGAACACUGGUCCUUGAUGUGUAGGAUAGGUGGGAGGCUUUGAAGUGUGGACGCCAGUCUGCAUGGAGCCGUCCUUGAAAUACCACCCUUUAAUGGCUGGUGUUCUAACGUUGGCCCGUAAUCCGGGUUGCGGACAGUGUCUGGUGGGUAGUUUGACUGGGGCGGUCUCCUCCUAAAGAGUAACGGAGGAGCACGAAGGUUGGCUAAUCCUGGUCGGACAUCAGGAGGUUAGUGCAAUGGCAUAAGCCAGCUUGACUGCGAGCGUGACGGCGCGAGCAGGUGCGAAAGCAGGUCAUAGUGAUCCGGUGGUUCUGAAUGGAAGGGCCAUCGCUCAACGGAUAAAAGGUACUCCGGGGAUAACAGGCUGAUACCGCCCAAGAGUUCAUAUCGACGGCGGUGUUUGGCACCUCGAUGUCGGCUCAUCACAUCCUGGGGCUGAAGUAGGUCCCAAGGGUAUGGCUGUUCGCCAUUUAAAGUGGUACGCGAGCUGGGUUUAGAACGUCGUGAGACAGUUCGGUCCCUAUCUGCCGUGGGCGCUGGAGAACUGAGGGGGGCUGCUCCUAGUACGAGAGGACCGGAGUGGACGCAUCACUGGUGUUCGGGUUGUCAUGCCAAUGGCACUGCCCGGUAGCUAAAUGCGGAAGAGAUAAGUGCUGAAAGCAUCUAAGCACGAAACUUGCCCCGAGAUGAGUUCUCCCUGAGACUUUAAGUCUCCUGAAGGAACGUUGAAGACGACGACGUUGAUAGGCCGGGUGUGUAAGCGCAGCGAUGCGUUGAGCUAACCGGUACUAAUGAACCGUGAGGCUUAACCUU
rnacentral:rRNA from 1 species